CAGGUGGCCCUGAUGGGUGCCUGGGCCGGAUAAACCGGCGAUAUCAUAUGCUUGUACCCAUAUUGCUCAAUGGAGGAUGUGGCUAUGAGAA
rnacentral:sRNA from 1 species